rnacentral:rRNA from 1 species
AUUCCUACGGGAGGCAGCAGCUAAGAAUAUUCCGCAAUGGACGAAAGUCUGACGGAGCGACGCCGCGUGGAUGAAGAAGGCCGAAAGGUUGUAAAGUUCUUUUGUUGGGGAAGAAUAACCAUGGGAGGGAAUGCCCGUGGGAUGACAUGAACCGACGAAUAAGCCCCGGCUAACUACGUGCCAGCAGCCGCGGUAACACGUAGGGGGCGAGCGUUGUUCGGAAUUACUGGGCGUAAAGGGCAUGUAGGCGGUCUUGCAAGCUUGGCGUGAAAGACCACGGCUCAACCGUGGGAUUGCGUUGAGAACUGCGAGGCUUGAGUGACGGAGAGGGAGCUAGAAUUCCUGGUGUAGGGGUGGAAUCUGUAGAGAUCAGGAAGAAUACCAAUGGCGAAGGCAAGCUCCUGGCCGAUGACUGACGCUGAGGUGCUAAAGUGUGGGGAUCAAACAGGAUUAGAUACCCUGGUAGUCCACACUGUAAACGAUGUGCACUAGGUGCUGGUACGGAUGUAUCAGUGCCGUAGCUAACGUGAUAAGUGCACCGCCUGGGGAGUAUGCUCGCAAGGGUGAAACUCAAAGGAAUUGACGGAAU